GGAGGAGGGCAGGCGUUUCACCCGCGCCACAGCUGCAGCGGGCCAGAGAGACCGCAGAGACCGGGACCCCACGCAGCCGCCGCGCCCGCUGCUGCGACUGCCGGGGUGGCGCGCCCAGCCGGAGAAUCCCGUCCGCGCCCGGGGCGGGGGGCGAGGCGGGGCGCUGACGUCACCUCCCCUCCCCCACCGCCUCCAAGAGGGAGGGAGCGGGGAAAGAGGCAGCGAGUCGCCGCAGCCGCCGGCCGCAACUCCUCAACUCGGCGGCUGGCUGCCCGGGCACGUCCUGACAAACUUGGUUGCUCCCGGGCCCUCGCUCCGGCCCCGCGCACUCUCUUUUCGCCUCCGUUUGGUGCUUAAGUUUGCCCUGGUCGGAAGCCUCCGGAGAUGCGGCCGCCUGGGUCCCGGCGGCACGGACGAUGGCAGUCUGGUUAGGGACAUGUUGAAGAUCCCGGGGAGGCAAACUUGGUACUUCAAACCCGGCUCCUAACACAUAUCCACAUCGCGUGGGGAUCACGGAGCUGCCGGGGACUUUAGAGCCCAGGGCCCAGGACUCGGCUAGACUGAUUCCUGAGAGUUAAGCAAUGGGGAGACAUUCGGCCUUGCUUCUGCUCCUCCUCCUCAUCCUCCAACAUUUUGGAGACAGUGAUGGCAGCCAAAGACUUGAACAGACUCCUCUACAGUUUACACAUCUCCAGUACAAUGUCACGGUGCAUGAGAACUCUGCAGCUAAGACUUACGUGGGGCAUCCUGUCAAGAUGGGUAUUUACAUGACACAUCCAUCGUGGGAAGUAAGGUACAAAAUUGUCUCCGGAGACAGUGAAAACCUGUUCAAAGCUGAAGAGUACGUUCUCGGAGACUUUUGCUUUCUAAGAAUAAGGACCAAAGGAGGAAAUACAGCUAUUCUUAAUAGAGAAGUGAAAGACCACUACACAUUGAUAGUGAAAGCAGUUGAAAAAAAUACUAAUAUGGAGGCGCGAACAAAGGUCAGGGUGCAGGUGCUGGAUACAAAUGACUUGAGACCGUUAUUCUCACCCACCUCAUACAGCGUUUCUUUACCUGAAAACACAGCCAUAAGGACCAGUAUUGCAAGAGUCAGCGCCACAGACGCAGACAUAGGAACCAAUGGGGAAUUUUACUACAGCUUUAAAGAUCGAACAGAUAUGUUUGCUAUUCACCCAACCAGUGGUGUGAUAGUGUUAACUGGUAGACUUGAUUACCUAGAGACCAAGCUGUAUGAGAUGGAAAUCCUCGCUGUGGACCGUGGAAUGAAAUUGUAUGGGAGCAGUGGCAUCAGCAGCAUGGCCAGGCUGACGGUGCACAUCGAACAGGCCAACGAAUGUGCUCCCGUGAUAACAGCAGUGACGUUGUCACCGUCAGAGCUGGACAGGGACCCAACAUACGCCAUCGUGACAGUGGAUGACUGUGAUCAGGGGGCCAAUGGUGAAAUAGCGUCUUUAAGCAUCGUGGCAGGCGACCUUCUCCAGCAGUUCAGAACCGUGAGGUCCUUUCCAGGGAGUAAGGAAUAUAAAGUCAAAGCCAUCAGUGGCGUUGAUUGGGACAGUCAUCCUUUCGGCUACAAUCUCACACUACAGGCUAAAGAUAAAGGAACUCCGCCCCAGUUCUCUUCUGUUAAAGUAAUUCACGUGACUUCUCCACAGUUCAAAGCCGGGCCAGUCAAGUUUGAAAAGGAUGUUUACAGAGCAGAAAUAAGUGAAUUUGCUCCUCCUAACACUCCUGUGGUCAUGGUAAAGGCCAUUCCUGGUUAUUCCCAUUUGAGGUAUGUUUUUAAAAGUACACCCGGAAAAGCUAAAUUCAGUUUAAAUUACAACACUGGCCUCAUUUCUAUUUUAGAACCGGUUAAAAAACAGCAGGCAGCCCAUUUUGAACUCGAAGUAACAACAAGUGACAGAAAAGCCUCCACCAAGGUCUUGGUGAAAGUCUUAGGUGCAAAUAGCAAUCCCCCUGAAUUUACCCAGACAGCAUACAAAGCCGCUUUUGAUGAGAAUGUGCCCAUCGGUACUACUGUCAUGAGCCUGAGUGCCGUAGACCCUGACGAGGGUGAGAAUGGAUACGUGACAUACAGUAUCACAAAUUUAAAUCAUGUGCCGUUUGUGAUUGACCAUUUCACUGGUGCUGUGAGUACGUCAGAAAACCUGGACUACGAACUGAUGCCUCGGGUUUAUACUCUGAGGAUUCGUGCAUCAGACUGGGGGUUGCCGUACCGCCGGGAGGCCGAAGUCCUUGCUACAAUCACUCUCAAUAACUUGAAUGACAACACACCUUUGUUUGAGAAAAUAAAUUGUGAAGGGACAAUUCCCCGAGAUCUAGGCGUGGGAGAGCAAAUAACUACUGUUUCUGCUAUUGAUGCAGAUGAACUUCAGCUGGUACAGUAUCAGAUUGAAGCUGGAAAUGAACUGGAUUUGUUUAGUUUAAACCCCCACUCUGGGGUAUUGUCAUUGAAGCAAUCGCUAAUGGAUGGCUUAGGUGCAAAGGUGUCUUUUCACAGUCUGAGAAUCACAGCUACAGAUGGAGAAAAUUUUGCCACGCCGUUAUAUAUCAACAUCACAGUGGCUGCCAGUCGCAAGCUGGUAAACUUGCACUGUGAAGAGACUGGUGUUGCCAAAAUGCUGGCAGAGAAACUCCUGCAGGCAAAUAAAUUACACAACCAGGGAGACGUGGAGGAUAUUUUCUUUGAUUCUCACUCUGUCAACGCUCACAUACCACAGUUUAGAAGCACUCUUCCGACUGGUAUUCAAGUAAAGGAAAACCAGCCUGUGGGUUCCAGUGUAAUUUUCAUGAAUUCCACUGACCUUGACACUGGCUUCAAUGGAAAACUGGUCUAUGCUAUUUCUGGAGGAAAUGAGGAUAGUUGCUUCAUGAUUGACAUGGAAACAGGAAUGCUGAAAAUUUUAUCUCCUCUUGACCGUGAAACAACGGACAAGUACACCCUGAAUAUUACCGUCUAUGACCUUGGGAUACCCCAGAAGGCUGCGUGGCGUCUUCUAGACGUUGUGGUUGUCGAUGCCAAUGAUAAUCCACCUGAGUUUUUACAGGAGAGCUAUUUUGUGGAAGUGAGUGAAGACAAGGAGGUACAUAGUGAAAUCAUCCAGGUUGAAGCCACAGAUAAAGACCUAGGGCCCAAUGGACACGUGACGUACUCAAUUCUUACAGACACAGAUAAGUUUUCAGUUGACAGCGCGACUGGUGUUGUUAAAAUCAUGCACCCUCUGGAUCGAGAACUGCAGCAUGAGCACUACUUAAAGAUUGAAGCCAGGGACCAAGCCAGAGAAGAGCCCCAGCUGUUCUCCACGGUCGUUUUGAAAGUAUCACUAGAAGAUGUUAAUGACAACCCCCCUAAAUUUAUUCCCCCUAAUUAUCGUGUGAAAGUCCGAGAGGAUCUUCCAGAAGGAACCGUCAUCAUGUGGUUAGAAGCCCACGAUCCUGAUUUAGCUCAGUCUGGUCAAGUGAGAUACAGCCUUAUGGACCACGGAGAAGGAAACUUUGAUGUGGAUAAACUCAGUGGAGCAGUUAGAAUCGUCCAGCAGUUGGAUUUUGAGAAGAAGCAAGUGUAUAAUCUCACUGUGAGGGCCAAAGACAAGGGGAAGCCCGUUUCUCUGUCUUCUACUUGCUAUGUUGAAGUUGAGGUGGUUGAUGUGAAUGAGAACUUGCACCCACCGGUGUUUUCCAGCUUUGUGGAAAGGGGGGUGGUGAAGGAAGACACGCCUGUUGGUUCGUUGGUAAUGACAGUGUCGGCUCAUGAUGAGGACGCCGGAAGAGAUGGGGAGAUCCGAUACUCCAUUAGAGAUGGUUCUGGCGUUGGCGUUUUCAAAAUAGGUGAAGAGACAGGUAUCAUAGAGACGUCAGAUCGACUGGACCGUGAAUCGACCUCCCAUUAUUGGCUGACAGUCUUUGCAACCGAUCAGGGUGUCGUGCCUCUUUCAUCGUUCAUAGAGAUCUACAUAGAGGUUGAGGAUGUCAAUGACAAUGCCCCACAGACAUCAGAGCCUGUUUAUUACCCAGAAAUCUUGGAAAAUUCUCCUAAAGAUGUGUCUGUGGUCCAGAUCGAGGCAUUCGAUCCAGAUUUGAGCUCUAAUGACAAGCUCGUGUACAGAAUUACAAGUGGAAAUCCGCAGGGGUUCUUCGCAGUACAUCCUAAAACAGGUCUCAUCACAACUACAUCAAGGAAGCUAGACCGAGAACAGCAAGAUGAACACAUAUUAGAGGUUACUGUGACAGACAAUGGUAGUCCCCCCAAAUCAACCAUUGCAAGAGUCAUUGUGAAAAUCCUUGAUGAAAAUGACAACAAACCUCAGUUUCUGCAAAAGUUCUACAAAAUCAGACUCCCUGAGCGGGAAAAGCCAGACCGAGAAAGAAAUGCCAGACGGGAGCCCCUGUAUCGCGUUAUAGCCACCGACAAAGAUGAAGGCCCCAAUGCAGAAAUCUCCUACAGCAUCGAAGAAGGGAAUGAGCACGGCAAAUUCUUCAUUGAACCGAAAACUGGGGUGGUUUCGUCCAAGAAGUUUUCAGCAGCUGGAGAAUAUGAUAUUCUUUCCAUUAAGGCAGUUGACAAUGGUCGCCCUCAAAAGUCAUCGACCACCAGACUCCACAUUGAAUGGAUCUCCAAACCCAAACCGUCCCCGGAGCCCAUUUCAUUUGAAGAAUCAUUUUUUACCUUUACUGUGAUGGAAAGUGACCCCGUUGCUCACAUGAUUGGAGUAAUAUCUGUUGAGCCUCCUGGCAUACCUCUUUGGUUUGACAUCACGGGAGACACGCUUGCUAGAGAAGUUUUUUACAUCUUUCAGAUGACUUGUGACCCGAACUGUACAGCAGAAGGUGGCAACUACGACAGUCACUUCGAUGUGGACAAGGGAACUGGAACCAUCAUUGUUGCCAAACCUCUCGAUGCAGAACAGAAGUCAAACUACAACCUCACAGUCGAGGCCACAGAUGGAACCACCACUAUCCUCACUCAGGUAUUCAUCAAAGUAAUAGACACAAAUGACCAUCGUCCUCAGUUUUCUACAUCGAAGUAUGAAGUUGUUAUUCCUGAAGAUACGGUGCCAGAGACAGAAAUUUUGCACAUCAGUGCUGUGGAUCAGGAUGAGAAAAACAGACUAAUCUACACUCUGCAGGGCAGUAGAGAUCCACUGAGUCUCAAGAAAUUCCGUCUUGAUCCUGCAACCGGCUCUCUCUAUACUUCUGAGAAGCUCGAUCAUGAAGCCGUUCACCAGCACACCCUCACGGUCAUGGUACGAGAUCAAGAUGUGCCUGUAAAACGCAACUUUGCAAGGAUUGUGGUCAACGUCAGCGACACGAAUGACCAUGCCCCGUGGUUCACCGCUUCCUCCUACAAAGGGCGGGUGUAUGAAUCGGCGGCCGUCGGCUCGGUUGUGUUGCAGGUGACGGCGCUGGACAAGGACAAAGGGAAAAAUGCCGAAGUGCUGUACUCGAUUGAGUCAGGAAACAUUGGAAAUUCUUUUAUGAUUGAUCCUGUCUUGGGCUCUAUUAAAACUGCCAAAGAAUUAGAUCGAAGUAACCAAGUGGAGUAUGAUUUAAUAGUAAAAGCUACAGAUAAGGGCAGUCCACCCAUGAGUGAAGUAACUUCUGUGCAUAUCUUCGUCACAGUUGCUGACAACGCCCCUCCGAAGUUUACAUCCAAAGACUAUUCUGUUGAAAUCAGUGAAACUGUCAGCAUUGGGAGUUUUGUUGGGAUGGUUACAGCCCAUAGUCAGUCAUCAGUGGUGUAUGAAAUAAAAGAUGGAAAUACAGGUGAUGCUUUUGAUAUUAAUCCACAUUCUGGAAGUAUCAUCACUCAGAAAGCCCUGGACUUUGAGACUUUGCCCGUGUACACAUUGAUAAUACAAGGAACGAACAUGGCUGGUUUGUCCACUAAUACAACAGUUUCAGUUCAGCUGCAGGAUGAGAAUGACAACUCGCCAGUUUUUAUGCAGGCAGAAUAUACAGGACUCAUUAGUGAGUCAGCCUCAAUUAACAGCGUGGUCCUCACAGACAGGAAUGUCCCUCUGGUGAUUCGAGCAGCUGAUGCUGAUAAAGACUCCAAUGCUUUGCUUGUUUACCACAUUGUUGAACCAUCUGUACACAAAUAUUUUGCUAUUGAUUCUAGCACUGGUGCUAUUCAUACAGUCCUCAGUCUGGACUAUGAAGAAACAAGCACUUUUCACUUCACCGUACAAGUGCAUGACAUGGGAACCCCACGUUUAUUUGCUGAGUAUGCAGCUAAUGUAACAAUACAUGUAAUUGACAUUAAUGACUGCCCUCCCGUGUUCGCCAAGCCAUUAUAUGAAGCAUGUCUUUUGUUGCCAACAUACAAAGGAGUAAAAGUCAUCACAGUAAAUGCUACAGAUGCCGAUUCAAGCGCAUUCUCACAGUUGAUUUACUCCAUCACCGAAGGCAACAUCGGGGAGAAGUUUUCCAUGGACUACAAGACUGGUGCUCUAACUGUCCAAAACACAACUCAGUUAAGAAGCCGCUACGAGCUAACCGUUAGAGCUUCCGAUGGCAGGUUUGCUGGCCUUACCUCUGUCAAAAUUAAUGUGAAAGAAAGCAAAGAAAGUCACCUGAAGUUUACCCAGGAUGUCUACUCUGCAGUAGUGAAAGAGAAUUCCACGGAGGCCAAAACGUUAGCUGUCAUUACUGCUAUUGGGAAUCCAAUCAAUGAGCCUUUGUUUUAUCACAUCCUCAACCCAGAUCGCAGAUUUAAAAUAAGCCGCACUUCAGGAGUACUGUCCACCACCGGUAUACCCUUCGAUCGUGAACAGCAGGAGGCGUUUGAUGUGGUUGUGGAAGUGACGGAAGAACAUAAGCCUUCCGCGGUGGCCCACGUUGUCGUGAAGGUCAUCGUAGAAGACCAAAAUGAUAACGCACCAGUGUUUGUCAACCUCCCCUACUACGCCGUUGUUAAAGUGGACACCGAGGUGGGCCGUGUCAUUCGCCACGUCACCGCUGUAGACAGAGACAGUGGCAGAAACGGGGAAGUGCAUUACUACCUUAAGGAACAUCAUGAAUACUUUCAAAUUGGACCCUUGGGUGAAAUUUCACUGAAAAAGCAAUUCGAACUUGACACCUUAAAUAAAGAAUAUCUUGUUACAGUGGUCGCCAAAGAUGGAGGGAACCCGGCCUUUUCAGCGGAAGUUAUGGUUCCGAUCACUGUCAUGAAUAAAGCCAUGCCCGUGUUUGAAAAACCUUUCUACAGUGCAGAGAUUGCAGAGAAUGUCCAGGUGCACAGCCCCGUGGUCCACGUACAGGCCAACAGCCCGGAAGGCUUGAAAGUGUUCUACAGCAUCACAGACGGAGACCCUUUCAGCCAGUUCACUAUUAACUUCAAUACCGGAGUUAUCAACGUCAUAGCUCCUCUGGACUUUGAGGCCCACCCGGCGUAUAAACUGAGCAUACGCGCAACUGACUCCUUGACGGGCGCUCAUGCUGAAGUAUUUGUGGACAUCAUAGUGGAGGACAUCAAUGAUAAUGCUCCUGUGUUUGCUCAGCAGUCUUACGCAGCAACCCUGUCUGAGGCAUCUGUAAUCGGAACAUCUGUUGUUCAAGUCAGAGCCACAGAUUCUGAUUCAGAACCCAAUAGAGGAAUCUCAUACCAGCUGUUUGGGAAUCUCAGCAAGAGUCAUGAUCAUUUUCAUGUGGACAGCAGCACCGGCCUCAUUUCACUGCUCAGAACUCUGGAUUACGAGCAGUCCCAGCGGCACACGAUUUUUGUGAGGGCUGUCGACGGUGGUAUGCCGCCGCUGAGCAGUGACGUGAUUGUCACGGUGGACGUUACCGACCUCAAUGAUAACCCACCACUCUUUGAACAACAGAUUUACGAAGCCAGAAUUAGCGAGCAUGCCCCUCAUGGGCAUUUUGUGACCUGUGUAAAAGCCUAUGAUGCAGACAGUUCGGACAUCGACAAGUUGCAGUAUUCCAUUCUGUCCGGCAAUGAUCAUAAACAUUUUAUCAUUGACAGUGCAACAGGAAUUAUCACCCUCUCAAACCUACGCCGGCACACCUUGAAGCCGUUUUACAGUCUUAACCUGUCAGUUUCCGAUGGCGUUUUUAGAAGUUCCACCCAGGUUCAUGUGACUGUCAUCGGAGGCAAUUUGCACAGCCCUGCUUUUCUUCAGAAUGAAUAUGAAGUGGAACUAGCUGAAAACGCUCCCCUACAUACCCUGGUGAUGGAGGUGAAAACGACGGAUGGGGAUUCUGGUAUUUAUGGUGACGUCACUUACCAUAUUGUAAAUGACUUUGCCAAAGACAGAUUUUACAUAAAUGAGAGAGGACAGAUAUUUACUUUGGAAAAACUUGAUCGAGAAACCCCAGCGGAGAAAGUGAUCUCAGUCCGUUUAAUGGCUAAGGACGCUGGAGGCAAAGUUGCCUUCUGCACUGUGAAUGUCAUCCUCACAGAUGACAAUGACAAUGCACCACAAUUUCGGGCGACCAAAUACGAAGUGAAUAUCGGAUCCAGUGCUGCUAAAGGGACUUCAGUCAUUAAAGUUCUCGCAAGUGACGCCGAUGAGGGCUCCAAUGCCGAUGUCACCUAUGCCAUUGAAGCAGACUCUGACAGUGUAAAAGAGAAUUUGGAAAUUAACAAACUGUCCGGCGUAAUCACUACAAAGGAGAGCCUCAUUGGCUUGGAAAAUGAGUUCUUCACUUUCUUUGUUAGAGCUGUGGAUAAUGGGUCUCCAUCAAAAGAAUCUGUUGUUCCCGUCUAUGUCAAAAUCCUUCCACCAGAAACACAGCUUCCAAAAUUUUCAGAACCUUUCUAUACCUAUACAGUGUCUGAGGACGUGCCUAUUGGAACAGAAAUAGAUCUCAUCCGAGCAGAACAUAGUGGGACUGUUCUUUACAGCCUGGUCAAAGGGAAUACCCCAGAAAGCAAUAGGGAUGAGUCCUUUGUGAUUGACAGACAGAGCGGGAGGCUGAAGCUGGAGAAGAGUCUUGAUCAUGAGAUAACUAAGUGGUAUCAGUUUUCCGUACUGGCCAGGUGCACUCAAGAUGACCGUGAGAUGGUGGCUUCUGUAGAUGUGAGUAUCCAAGUGAAAGAUGCAAAUGACAACAGCCCCGUCUUUGAAUCUAGUCCAUAUGAGGCAUUCAUUGUUGAAAACCUGCCAGGGGGAAGUAGAGUAAUUCAGAUCAGGGCAUCUGAUGCUGACUCAGGAACCAACAGCCAAGUUAUGUAUAGCCUGGAUCAGUCACAAAGUGUGGAAGUCAUUGAAUCCUUUGCCAUUAACAUGGAAACAGGCUGGAUUACAACCUUAAAGGAACUUGACCAUGAAGAGAGAGACAAUUACCAGAUUAAAGUGGUUGCUUCAGAUCAUGGUGAAAAGAUCCAGCUGUCCUCCACAGCCAUUGUGGAUGUUACCGUCACCGAUGUCAACGAUAGUCCACCACGAUUCACGGCCGAGAUCUAUAAAGGGACUGUGAGUGAGGAUGACCCCCCCGGCGGUGUGAUUGCCAUCUUAAGUACCACAGAUGCCGAUUCUGAAGAGAUCAACAGACAAGUUACAUAUUUCAUAACAGGAGGGGAUCCUUUGGGACAGUUUGCUGUUGAAAAUAUACAGAAUGAAUGGAAGGUAUAUGUGAAGAAACCUCUAGACAGGGAAAAAAGGGACAAUUACCUUCUUACUAUCACAGCAACUGAUGGCACCUUCUCGUCAAAAGCUAUAGUUGAAGUGAAAGUUCUUGAUGCAAAUGACAACAGUCCAGUUUGUGAAAAGACUUUAUAUUCAGACACUAUUCCUGAAGACGUCCUUCCUGGAAAGUUGAUCAUGCAGAUCUCUGCCGCAGACGCAGACAUCCGCUCUAACGCUGAAAUUACUUACACAUUAUCGGGUUCAGGUGCAGAAAAAUUCCAGCUAAAUCCAGACACAGGUGAACUGAAAACGUCAGCCCCCCUUGAUCGUGAGGAGCAAGCUGUUUAUCAUCUUCUCGUCAGGGCCACAGAUAGAGGAGGGAGAUUCUGCCAAGCCAGUAUUGUGCUCACGCUGGAAGACGUGAACGAUAACGCCCCUGAGUUCUCUGCCGAUCCUUAUGCCAUCACCGUGUUUGAAAACACAGAGCCCGGAACGCUGCUGACGAGAGUGCAGGCCACAGAUGCCGACUCAGGAUUAAAUCGGAAGAUUUUAUACUCACUGAUUGACUCUGCUGAUGGGCAGUUCUCCAUUAACGAAUUAUCUGGAAUUAUUCAGUUAGAAAAACCUUUGGACAGAGAACUCCAGGCAGUAUACACCCUCUCUUUGAAAGCUGUGGAUCAAGGCUUGCCAAGGAGGCUGACCGCCACUGGUACUGUGGUUGUAUCAGUUCUUGACAUAAAUGACAACCCCCCUGUGUUUGAGUACCGUGAAUAUGGAGCCACCGUGUCCGAGGACAUUCUUGUCGGAACUGAAGUUCUUCAAGUGUAUGCAGCAAGUCGGGAUAUUGAAGCAAAUGCCGAAAUCACCUACUCAAUAAUAAGUGGAAACGAACAUGGGAAAUUCAGCAUAGAUUCUAAAACAGGGGCCGUAUUUAUCAUCGAGAAUCUGGAUUAUGAAAGCUCUCAUGAAUAUUACCUAACCAUAGAGGCCACUGAUGGAGGCACGCCUUCUCUGAGUGACGUUGCCACUGUGAACGUUAACGUAACGGAUGUCAACGACAACGCGCCAGUGUUCAGCCAAGACACCUACACAGCAGUGGUCAGUGAAGAUGCCGUUCUUGAGCAGUCUGUCAUCACGGUUCUGGCCGACGAUGCCGACGGACCCUCAAACAGCCACAUCCACUACUCAAUUAUAGAUGGCAACCAGGGAGGCCCAUUCACCAUUGACCCUGUCCGGGGAGAAGUCAAAGUGACCAAACUUCUCGACCGAGAAACAAUUUCAGGUUACACACUCACGGUUCAGGCUUCUGAUAACGGCAGUCCACCUAGAGUCAACACGACGGCUGUGAACAUCGACGUGUCUGAUGUCAAUGACAACGCGCCCGUCUUCUCCAGGGGAAACUACAGCGUCAUCAUCCAGGAAAACAAGCCAGUGGGCUUCAGCGUCCUGCGGCUGGUGGUGACAGAUGAGGAUUCUUCCCAUAACGGUCCACCCUUCGUCUUUACCAUUGUGACUGGAAAUGAUGAGAAGGCGUUUGAAGUUAACCAGCAAGGGGUCCUCCUGACUGCAUCUGCCAUCAAGAGGAAGGAGAAAGAUCAUUUCUUACUGCAGGUUAAGGUGGCAGAUAAUGGAAAACCUCAGUUGUCAUCUCUGACAUACAUUGACAUUAGGGUCAUUGAGGAGAGCAUCUAUCCCCCUGCGAUUUUGCCCCUGGAGAUUUUCAUCACCGCUUCUGGAGAAGAAUACUCAGGUGGCGUCAUUGGGAAGAUCCACGCCACAGACCAGGACGUGUAUGAUACUCUAACCUACAGUCUUGAUCCUCAGAUGGACAACCUGUUCUCUGUUUCCAGCACAGGGGGCAAGCUGAUAGCACACAAAAAGCUGGACAUAGGGCAGUACCUUCUCAAUGUCAGCGUGACAGAUGGGAAGUUCACGACGGUGGCUGACAUCACAGUGCAUAUCAGACAAGUCACACAGGAGAUGUUGAACCACACCAUCGCUAUCCGCUUUGCCAAUCUCACUCCGGAAGAAUUUGUGGGUGACUACUGGCGCAACUUCCAGCGAGCUUUACGGAACAUCCUGGGUGUGAGGAGGAGUGACAUACACAUUGUUAGUUUGCAGCCCUCUGAACCUCACCCACAUCUGGAUGUCUUACUUUUUGUAGAGAAAUCAGGUGGUGCUCAGAUUUCAACAAAACAACUUCUGCACAAGAUUAAUUCUUCCGUGACUGAUAUUGAGGACAUCAUUGGAGUUCGGAUCCUGGAUGUAUUCCAGAAACUCUGCGCAGGACUGGACUGCCCCUGGAAGUUCUGCGAUGAAAAGGUGUCUGUGGAUGAAAGUGUGAUGUCAACACACAGCACAGCCAGACUGAGCUUUGUGACUCCCCGCCACCACAGGGCAGCGGUGUGUCUCUGCAAAGAGGGAAGAUGCCCAGCUGUCCACCAUGGCUGUGAAGACCAUCCAUGCCCUGAGGGAUCCGAGUGUGUGUCUGAUCCCCGGGAGGAGAAACACACCUGUGUCUGUCCCGGCGGCAGGUUUGCUCAGUGCCCAGGGAGUUCAUCUAUGACACUGACUGGAAAUAGCUAUGUGAAAUACCGUCUGACGGAGAAUGAAAACAAAUUAGAGAUGAAACUGACCAUGAGGCUCAGAACGUAUUCCAUGCAUGCGGUUGUCAUGUACGCGCGAGGAACCGACUAUAGCAUCUUGGAGAUUCAUAAUGGAAGGCUGCAGUACAAGUUCGACUGUGGCAGUGGCCCUGGCAUCGUCUCUGUUCAGAGCAUUCAGGUCAAUGAUGGGCAGUGGCACGCAGUGUCCUUGGAAGUGAAUGGGAACUAUGCUCGCUUGGUUCUAGACCAAGUUCACACUGCAUCGGGCACAGCCCCAGGGACUCUGAAAACCUUGAACCUGGAUAACUACGUGUUUUUUGGUGGCCACAUCCGUCAGCAGGGAACACGGCAUGGAAGAAGUCCUCAAGUUGCUAAUGGUUUCAGAGGUUGUAUGGAUUCCAUUUAUUUGAAUGGGCAGGAGCUGCCCUUCAACAGCAAACCCAGAAGCUAUGCCCACAUGGAGGAGUCGGUGGGUGUGUCUCCAGGGUGCUUCCUGACGGCUACGGAAGACUGCGCCAGCGGCCCUUGCCAGAACGGAGGCAUUUGCAGUCCGUCACCUGCUGGAGGUUAUUACUGCAAAUGCAGCGCCUUAUACAUAGGGACGUACUGCGAGAUAAGCGUCAAUCCGUGUUCCUCCAACCCGUGCCUCUAUGGGGGCACGUGUGUUGUCGACAACGGAGGCUUUGUUUGCCAGUGUAGAGGGUUAUAUACUGGUCAGAGGUGUCAGCUUAGUCCGUACUGCAAAGAUGACCCCUGUAAGAAUGGCGGAACAUGCUUUGACAGUUUGGAUGGUGCCGUUUGUCAGUGUGAUUCAGGUUUUAGGGGAGAAAGGUGUCAGAGUGACAUUGACGAGUGCGCUGGAAACCCCUGCCGACACGGGGCCCUCUGCGAGAACACACACGGCUCCUAUCACUGCAACUGCAGCCACGAGUACAGAGGACGCCACUGCGAGGACGCUGCACCCAACCAGUACGUGUCCACGCCGUGGAACAUUGGGCUGGCGGAAGGAAUCGGAAUCAUUGUGUUUAUAGCAGGGAUAUUUUUACUGGUGGUGGUGUUUGUUCUCUGCCGUAAGAUGAUGAGUCGGAAAAAGAAGCAUCAGGCUGAGCCUGAAGACAAGCACCUGGGACCCACUACGGCUUUCUUGCAGAGACCGUAUUUUGAUUCCAAGCUAAAUAAGAACAUUUACUCAGACGUACCACCCCAGGUGCCUGUCCGGCCUAUUUCCUACACCCCGAGUAUUCCAAGUGACUCCAGAAACAAUCUCGACCGAAAUUCCUUUGAAGGAUCUGCCAUCCCAGAGCAUCCCGAAUUCAGCACUUUCAACCCCGAGUCUGUGCACGGGCACCGAAAAGCAGUGGCGGUCUGCAGUGUGGCGCCAAACCUGCCUCCCCCACCGCCUUCGAACUCCCCUUCUGACAGCGACUCCAUACAGAAGCCCAGCUGGGACUUCGACUAUGACACUAAAGUGGUGGAUCUCGAUCCCUGUCUUUCCAAGAAGCCUCUAGAGGAAAAGCCUUCCCAGCCGUACAGUGCCCGGGAAAGCCUGUCUGAAGUGCAGUCCCUGAGCUCCUUCCAGUCCGAGUCGUGCGAUGACAAUGCUCCCGUGUGGAUCAGAGCGUACUGACAGAGCACAGUUUAGGAGAUUGCUACUUCCCUAGUGACUGUAAUGCACCUUGUCAAUGCUGUGGUUGACACGAAUCUUUGGCUGCUCCUGACCUCAGCAAACCAAGAGGGUAUCACUGGGAUACAUCAGAUUGGAUGCCAAGCGUUCCUCUGCCGGACAUACAGGAGUUCCCCAACUAUGAGGUGAUUGAUGAGCAGACACCCCUGUACUCGGGAGAUCCGAACGCCAUCGAUACGGACUAUUACCCUGGGGGCUACGACAUCGAAAGUGAUUUUCCUCCACCCCCCGAAGACUUCCCCGCCGCCGACGAGCUGCCACCGUUACCGCCCGAAUUCGGCGAUCAGUUUGAGUCCAUCCACCCUCCUAGAGACAUGCCUGCCGCGGGUAGCUUGGGUUCUUCAUCAAGAAACCGGCAGAGGUUCACCUUGAAUCAGUAUUUGCCCAAUUUUUAUCCCCUCGAUAUGUCUGAACCUCAAACAAAAGGCACUGGUGAGAAUAGUACUUGUAGAGAAUCCCAUGCCCCUUACCCGCCAGGGUAUCAAAGACACUUGGAGGUGCCCACUGUCGAGAGCGUGCCCAUGUCCGUGUACGCCUCCACGGCCUCCUGCUCCGACGUGUCAGCCUGCUGCGAAGUGGAGUCCGAGGUGAUGAUGAGUGACUAUGAGAGCGGGGACGACGGCCACUUUGAAGAGGUGACGAUCCCGCCUCUGGAUUCCCAGCAGCACACGGAAGUCUGACUCUCAACUCCCCCCGAAGUGCCUGAUUUUAGUGAACCUAGAGAUGAUAGGAGCAUCCGCCUUGCUCCUGCAGCAGUGCUCCCAGGCUUUUUUCGGUGAGCUGAAUGGCCAUGGCUGCGCUGGGUCCCGCGCCUCUGGACGUGCUGGCCAUUUCCAGUGUCCCGACUACUGUCAUCGUGAGGUUUCCAUCGGCUGUGCCAUUUCCCAACAUCUUUUGGGAUUUACAUCUGUCUGUGUUAAAAUAGUGAAACGAAAAUGAGUCCUGUCCUCUGUCGUCAGCAUGAUUCAUGUAUUUAUAUAGAUUUGAUUAUUUUAAUUUUCCUGUCUCUCUUUUUUUGUAAAUUUUAUGUACAGAUUUGAUUUUUCAUAGUUUUAACUAGAUUUCCAAGAUAUUUUGUGCAUUUGUUUCAACUGAAUUUUGGUGGUGUUAGUGCCAUUAUCUAGCACCCUGAUUUUUUUUUUUUUUUUUUACUAUAACCAGGGUUUCACUCUGUCUUUUCCCUUUUCCCACUGAAGUAUGACAUUUUGUUGGUCCAUUUCAGUGCAUUUCUAGCUGUACAUAGGAUGAGGGAGUGAUAUGAUACAUGAACAUGUCUUACAUGGGUUGCUGUAUUUAGAAUUAUAAACAUUUUUCAUUAUUGGAAAGUGUAACGGGGACCUUCUGCAUACCUGUUUAGAGCCAAAUCCACCAUGACACAGUUUUUAUAGUGUCUGUAUAUUUGUGAUGCAAUGGUCUUGUAAAGGUUUUUAAUGAAAACUACCAUUAGCCAGUCUUUCUUACUGACAAUAAAUUAUUAAUAAAAUCCA